UAGUAACGGCGAGUGAAGCGGGAACAGCUCAAAUUUAAAAUCUCCCUUCGGGGCGAAUUGUAGUUUAUAGAAGUGUUUUUCUGGGGCAGCUCGGGCAUAUGUCGUUUGGAAAAACGCAUCAAAGAGGGUGAGAAUCCCGUAUUUGGCCUGAAGCCUGUCUCUUUGUGAUGCACUUUCUAAGAGUCGAGUUGUUUGGGAAUGCAGCUCUAAAUGGGUGGUAAAUACCAUCUAAAGCUAAAUAUUGGCGAGAGACCGAUAGCGAACAAGUACCGUGAGGGAAAGAUGAAAAGAACUUUGAAAAGAGAGUUAAAAGUACGUGAAAUUGUUAAUAGGGAAACGUUUGGAACCAGUGUUGCGAGCAGUAAUCAGCCGUUGCUUCCGCAGCGGUGCACUUGCUGUGAGCAGGUCAACAUCAGUUUCGAGCGGGGUAAAAAGCUUCAAAGGGGCCCUUGUGGCCAAGUUGAAGUCAUGCCUUGCCUGGGACUGACGAAUUCUGCGCAAGCAGGAUGUUGACGAAAUGGUUUCAAGCGACCCGUCUUGAAACACGGACCAAGGAGUCUAACAAAUAUGCGAGUAUUUGGGUAGCAAACCCUUAUGCGCAAUGAAAGUGAAAUUUGGUGGGAACCUUCGGGUGCACCAUCGACCGGUCUGGAUUUCUUUGAUUGAUAGAUCUGAGUAAGAGCAUAUUCGUUAGGACCCGAAAGAUGGUGAACUAUGCCUGAAUAGGGUGAAGCCAGAGGAAACUCUGGUGGAGGCUCGUAGCGAUUCUGACGUGCAAAUCGAUCGUCAAAUUUGGGUAUA
rnacentral:rRNA from 1 species